UAGGGAAUUUUCGUCAAUGGGGGGAACCCUGAACGAGCAAUGCCGCGUGUGUGAAGAAGGUCUUCGGAUCGUAAAGCACUGUUGUAAGUGAAGAAUGCCACAUAGAGGAAAUGCUAUGUGGGUGACGGUAGCUUACCAGAAAGCCACGGCUAACUACGUGCCAGCAGCCGCGGUAAUACGUAGGUGGCAAGCGUUAUCCGGAAUCAUUGGGCGUAAAGGGUGCGUAGGUGGCACGAUAAGUCUGAAGUAAAAGGCAACAGCUCAACUGUUGUAUGCUUUGGAAACUGUCGAGCUAGAGUGCAGAAGAGGGCGAUGGAAUUCCAUGUGUAGCGGUAAAAUGCGUAGAUAUAUGGAGGAACACCAGUGGCGAAGGCGGUCGCCUGGUCUGUAACUGACACUGAUGCAUGAAAGCGUGGGGAGCAAAUAGGAUUAGAUACC
rnacentral:rRNA from 1 species